rnacentral:tRNA from 1 species
GGAGAGCGCUUGCAUGGCAUGCAAGAGGUCAGCGGUUCGAUCCCGCUUAUCUCCA